GGAUGCGAUCAUACCAGCACUAAAGCAUCGGAUCCCAUCAGAACUCCGAAGAUAAGCGUGCUUGGGCGAGAGUAGUACUAGUAUGGGUGACCUCCUGAGAGUAGUACUAGGAUGGGUGACCUCCUGGGAAGUCCUCGUGUUGCAUUCC
rnacentral:rRNA from 16 species